rnacentral:rRNA from 1 species
AGAGUUUGAUCCUGGCUCAGAACGAACGCUGGCGGCGUGGAUAAGACAUGCAAGUCGAACGAGAGAAUUGCUAGCUUGCUAAUAAUUCUCUAGUGGCGCACGGGUGAGUAACACGUGAGUAACCUGCCCCCGAGAGCGGGAUAGCCCUGGGAAACUGGGAUUAAUACUGCAUAGUAUCGAAAGAUUAAAGCAGCAAUGCGCUUGGGGAUGGGCUCGCGGCCUAUUAGUUAGUUGGUGAGGUAACGGCUCACCAAGGCGAUGACGGGUAGCCGGUCUGAGAGGAUGUCCGGCCACACUGGAACUGAGACACGGUCCAGACACCUACGGGUGGCAGCAGUCGAGAAUCAUUCACAAUGGGGGAAACCCUGAUGGUGUGACGCCGCGUGGGGGAAUGAAGGUCUUCGGAUUGUAAACCCCUGUCAUGUGGGAGCAAAUUAAAAAGAUAGUACCACAAGAGGAAGAGACGGCUAACUCUGUGCCAGCAGCCGCGGUAAUACAGAGGUCUCAAGCGUUGUUCGGAAUCACUGGGCGUAAAGCGUGCGUAGGCUGUUUCGUAAGUCGUGUGUGAAAGGCGCGGGCUCAACCCGCGGACGGCACAUGAUACUGCGAGACUAGAGUAAUGGAGGGGGAACCGGAAUUCUCGGUGUAGCAGUGAAAUGCGUAGAUAUCGAGAGGAACACUCGUGGCGAAGGCGGGUUCCUGGACAUUAACUGACGCUGAGGCACGAAGGCCAGGGGAGCGAAAGGGAUUAGAUACCCCUGUAGUCCUGGCAGUAAACGGUGCACGCUUGGUGUGCGGGGAAUCGACCCCCUGCGUGCCGGAGCUAACGCGUUAAGCGUGCCGCCUGGGGAGUACGGUCGCAAGAUUAAAACUCAAAGAAAUUGACGGGGACCCGCACAAGCGGUGGAGUAUGUGGCUUAAUUCGAUGCAACGCGAAGAACCUUACCUGGGCUUGACAUGUAAUGAACAACAUGUGAAAGCAUGCGACUCUUCGGAGGCGUUACACAGGUGCUGCAUGGCCGUCGUCAGCUCGUGUCGUGAGAUGUUUGGUUAAGUCCAGCAACGAGCGCAACCCCUGUUGCCAGUUACCAGCACGUGAAGGUGGGGACUCUGGCGAGACUGCCCAGAUCAACUGGGAGGAAGGUGGGGACGACGUCAGGUCAGUAUGGCCCUUAUGCCCAGGGCUGCACACGUACUACAAUGCCCAGUACAGAGGGGGCCGAAGCCGCGAGGCGGAGGAAAUCCUGAAAACUGGGCCCAGUUCGGACUGUAGGCUGCAACCCGCCUACACGAAGCCGGAAUCGCUAGUAAUGGCGGAUCAGAAUGCCGCGGUGAAUACGUUCCCGGGUCUUGUACACACCGCCCGUCA